GGUAAAGUGGCUGAUAAAGGUGAUAAAUUGUAAAUUUAUUUAUGAAGUUAUUCUUCUUUUACCA
rnacentral:tRNA from 1 species